UGAGGACCCAGGCCCUGCUGGUGCUCGUCCUACGCGGCUCACGCACAGCGCCUUUCCGUGCGCACCUGAGCGGCUUCUCUGGAGGCUGUGAGUCGGUCCAGUCUCUCGCCGUGGUGUGCAGUCCAGGCGGCCACAGUCCUGGGUGGACAGUCUCCUCCCACCCGCCAGCUGGGUGCAUUCUUGUGGCCCUAGCACUUCCAACAGGCGUGUGGAAGAACACAGUGGUGACUCGUGAAGAGGUGGACAGCUUGCUCAUGCAGCGGAACGGAGGCUCCUCCAACCCCCUUUCUGGGACUGCACCCAAGCCACUCUCACUGGAAUCCCUUCAUUAGAAGGGAAGGAGGGUGGGAGAAGCCCUUGCGGCUACUGUCUUCACCCAGGGAGCCCUGGUGUGAGAGGCUGGUGCCGGCAUGUGCACUGGGAACGGGAGCCAUGUGCUCGGUCCCCGGGAGUUUCUGCAGAAACCCUUCAAGCCUACCUUGUCUCCAGCAGGCAAGGAGCCCAGUUGUGCUUGGCAUCUGGAGAUUUUUCUCUUUGCUUGAUUGUGUUGUCCCAAAGCAGAUGAAGCGCUUGAGGUGCUUGGAGAGUGGGGCACACCAGUGUGGUGUUGGGUACUUUCUGCAUUUCUAGCAGGAAAACCUUGAGAAGCCAGCACCCAGCCCACGAGCUCCGUUGGUGUGGGGCCUGAACUCCUCGGUGAAUGUUAGCCUCCACCUCCCACUCUGGACCUUCUGAGAGAUCCCCUGAUGUGUCCAUUUCCUCUUGGACACAUUCCAGUUGUAUUAAGGUCCACACAUUUCCCAGGAUAGCCAACAGGUUGACACUGCUGAGACAUUUGUCCCUAUCCCUCAUAUGAGGCUGCUUGCUGAAGAGUGGGCCUCAGUGGAAGGCUGGUUCACCUCAGAGUACCUGCUGGGGAGCACAGCCUUCAUUAGAUGUGGCUUCCACCUGCAACAGCAGCUUGAGUGUGAGAGGAGGCUCCCAGCUGUGCGUGCAGGGCCAUUCUGCAGAGAGUGGAAAUCCUCAGGGGCACAUUGGAGGAGGAGGACAGAUUGGCUGCAGGCUCUCGGGAAUGGGAGGAAGAAAGAUGGAAGUGUCCCGUGAGCACAGGAAAUGAGUGUUGAGCUGCAGUGGCCUGGAGCUCCCACCAGCUCCUCAGAGGAUGCCCAGGUGGAAGCCCACACCACUACCUUCCCUGGACACAUCUCCUUGGCCACACGUUCCAGGCUGGGAAGCACAGCCUUCCCAGACAGAGACAGGGGUGAGUCAUGGCUCCUGAUUUCUCUCCAGUGGCCAGCAUAUUCUGUUCUGUAUCGCAACUAGUGACAGACUGUCUCCCUGUCUCCAAGGAAUUCAAAUUAAACUUUUCUGCAGCAACAAUGGAAAUGAAAUAUUUCAGUAAAUAAAAGUAGCAAAUUCAUCAAGGUGAAAUUCAA